GCCUCUCAAGUUUCUUUUAAUAUAGAGGAAUUCCUCAUUUUUUUUAAUGCAAUUGGCUUACUGAAGAAAUAGGUCCAUUGCCCUGUAGAAGGUCCCACAAUCUAAAUCUAUAUCCUCAUGGUGUUAUUCAAGUUUUUCUUCUAUCAUCCCUAUUUCUUGUAAAUUGAAUGUUUCCUAAAGCCUUGAUUAGAUUUAGGGUCCAAUCUUUUUGGAAAGAAUACUUCACAAGAUGAUGCUGCAUACUUUAGCUUACUUCCCAAAUAAUAUCUGGUUGUCCCUCUUUUAGUGAUUACAAGAUUGAGUAAUGGAUUCAGGUGGUGGUGCCUCUGAUUGCAGUUCCUCAUCAACUUUUCAUCUAAUGGCUUCCAUCCAUCAGUGAUUACAGUCGGCAUCCUCUACCAGGCUCCCAGUGAUCCCCAGCUCGUGAUAUGUACACCCUGAUCUCCCAGGAAAGCCAGCUGCCGUCUUCUGAGAUGCUUUAUGGAGAGGUCCAUGUGGCAAAUAACUGACAUCUCUGGCCAGCUGCCAGCAGGGAUCUGAGCUGUGCCAACAGCCACAAGAGUGAGCUUGGAAGCAGAUCCUCCCCUUAGCAAGCCUUGAGAUGACUGCAGACCCGGCUGACCUUGACUGCAACCUCGUGGGAGACCCUGAGUCAGGGGCACCCCAAACAAAUAAGGAGAAUUGGGAUGAGAAGAUUGGCUGUAUGUGUAUAGACCUGCACGUUUGCAUAUUGCAGAGGCAUGGAGGUUCUUGAAAUUUACACACCUGUGAAAUGAGGAUUCCGAAGGUUGGAAUUGGAUACGUCCCCUGCCGUGCUAUUGCCCCCUAGUGGCUGAUGACAAGAACCCAGCUGUGAGUGUGGGCCUGCCCAGUCACGUGACCCAAGCAGCCUAGCCCUCCCACCCCCGGAAGGUAAACUCCGCCUGCCCCCCCGGGAGACUCCGAAGAAAAUCUUGCUCCCUUCGGCCCGACUCCUCUCCCAAGAUUCCCUAGGGGCUGAGGGCUCUAAAUUGGGAAAGUGACAAGGAAGCCUGUGGAUUCACUCAGGAGGAGAUUCCCAGAACAUCUCAUGUGACUGUCAUGUCAUGGAUGAAAUGCUUUCCACCUCACCUGGCAAAGUCCAGGGCAAAGCAAAAACUGCUGAGUCUCCGGCUAAGGAUUGCCGGCGAGCUCCCACCUUGCGCGAACGGAGAGGCUGUGGCAGGUACAAAAAUACCGGGAGUCCGCCGUCUUCACGAGUUACCUUGGGGGAGUGCCCCAGUUUCUCUGGGUCUGGGUUCCGUCUUCAAAAAUCCUGCCCUGCCAGAUUUGCCCCAAUCUACCAGGCCUGGCACGAAUAAUCCCUUACCCUGCAACGUGCCCGGAGCGCUCUGUAAACUCUAUUUCAGCUCCUACACCCGGCAUGAAUUCAGAAGCUCAGAGCUUCUGAACGGAAAGUACCGUCUCCAUCCCUCUGAUCACUCUGUGGGGCUGUCCUCGCAUAUGAUAAAAACUGAGGUGGUCACCACUGUCCGAAACUUCUCUGCAGUUCCUCCAGCUUUUGUCCUCAAAAGAAAAGUGCCCAGCCAAUGAGACAGUAUGCAAUCCACAGUGAGAA